CCCCUCUCAGGGUUACACCUGGAAAGUUUCCAGUACUAUUCUGGUCUCUACUAAGGGAGGGAGAGUCAAGCAGAGGUCUACCCAUUCCAUUCCUAGCUUGGGCAGUGGCUAGUAAGUGGAAGGCAAUCUGCUACAAGU